UUAUUUAUUAUUACUUAAUCUACUUUCUCAUUUUACAUAUGAGGAAACGGAGUCUUAGAGAGAUGAAAUGAAUUAUCUAUGGUCACAUAGGUAGUGCAAGAAGGUAGAAUUUGAACUCAGGCCAUAUGAUUCAUGGGACCCUAUGCUUUCUGUUGCAUUAAGACCUUAUGUUGGAACAGCUGGGUGGCUCAAUUGAUUGAGAGUCAGGUGUAGAAAUGGGAGAUCCUGGGUUCACAUCUAGCCUCAGACACUUCUUAGCUGUAUGACCCUGGGCAAGUCACUUAACCCCCAUUGCCUAGCACUCAUUGCUCUUCUGCCUUGGAACCAAUACACAGUAUUGAUUCUAAGAUUGAAGGUGAGGGUUUUAAAUAAUAAAAAAAAAAGAUUGUAUGUUCUACUUCUCAUACCUGCUCACUGAUACCUUAAAUUCCUUGGAGAAGGGGCCUAAAUUUUUUUAUUCCAUCAUUAGAGCUAAAAUAUGAAAGCCAAAUAUGAAUAAGAAUAACAUAAUUGAUUUAAUUUUAUGUCUGAUGAUCAAAAGAACUCUCGGUUUUCUGACUGGGGCUUUUCCCAUGGAGCGGGUCAUGUACUCAACAUCCUUACCAAGGAACAUGAAACUUGCUAGGAUGACACAGAAACUCCUAAUUGGUCCCCAGUGACUAGAGGGAUGCCAAGAUGAUUGGCAACUGGAAGUAGGGAAAGGGUGGGUUCUUGCUGGGAGAAGCCCCCCUCCUCUGUGAUCUCCAUGAACUCUGAGAAUGACUCUUCUCUUGUGAGAUUCACUUUCAUCAAAUUUUCUCCCUUGACCUUCCUGAGUUCAGGAUUUUGGCAUCUGUUGACCAGAGGGAGGAGGAUAUCCUUGACAGCACACACAUCUCGGAGGAUCAUCAGAUCAUCCUAUAACUGAAGGCCUAAAGAAAGUCAUGUUCUGACUAGCCAGGAGAUUUGGACUACAUGAGGGGUUCAGAGAGUGUCAGUUUAAAGAGAACAUGAAAUUUGUUUAGUAGUUCUAUUACUAAAGUUGCCUUUAUUUUGACCGUAAAAGGCUACUUGAGUGUUUUCUGUUUCCUUCAUUUGUUAAUUCAUGAAUGUGAUUACAUCUUCUGCAUUUUAUGCAGUUUUCUGGUUGGAAAAAAUAAACAGCUACUCAAUCAAUACUUGAUACCCAUACUUGAUACUGAGAAUCUUUUCUAGAAGAUUAUCCCAUUUUGGGGAGUUCUAGAUAUGUUUUCUACCUGAAUUAUCCAUUAGAGAUUUCUCUGGAGUUACUCCAAGAAUAGAGCAGAUUCUAGAAGAGAGAAAUUGAUCUUCUGUAAUCAGGAACUCUAGAACUGAAGCCAGCUCCAUAUGAGUUCAGAGCCCUUCUUGGGUAGUGGAUUAUACUUAUACCAAUGUGUAACUGGCUGAUGGGUUCUUUUCAUAAUGUAGGGGCAAAGUGUUAAGUAUAGAAAACAUAGAGUUGGAAAGAAGGAUGCUACAAAACAGAGAGAAAGAACAGAAUAGGGGAGAUAAGGAACAGAACUUGCUAUUUUACCUUCCUUUGGUUUUGACCCCAGUUGUGAAGCUAAUGAAAAGAACACGAUUCAGCUAGGGUAGGAAGGAAGUGAAGAGGCUACGAGGCACCAAAACUUGUGCUCAGAUCUAGGAUCUGCAAUAAUCUGGUGACAUCUGAUUUGCUCAGGAACUUCCCUCAUAGUUUCAUCUGAUCUAGUUUUACAUAUUUGAUAGGGUUAGAGGUCUCUGUAGGUGAGUGGAAAGUAUAUUCUGGAUUUGUGUUCAGUGGAACAGAGUUGAAAUUUGGGCUCUGCAACUUAACUCCUAUUUGCAAUCUUGGGCAAGUCACCUAAGUCUCGAAGUCUCAGUUUCCUUGCCUGCAAAAUGAAGGGGUUGGAUUCAUUAAAUAGGGGUAUGGACUCCUCUGAGAGGACAGAUGUGGUUGGCAUGCUGUAAUAUAGGCUCCAGACUGCUAAAAGAUACCUUUAGUAUACAGAGUAUUUGAUAAUGGUGCUCAGGUAGGGGCAGAGUGGGGAGACGAGGUGUACUAUAAAUGUUUAACAAUAGGUUCUUUGAAAAAAAAUGUUCUCAACACAUUUUUGAGUUUAAUCUGCAUUAUUAACAUUUUCUCUGUUGUUCUCUUAAGUCUAGUCAGUCAACAAAACAAUAAAUCAAGUCCUGAUUUGUAGUGUUUGUGGAUUUCUAAGAGGUAAAUGAUCACUCUGAAAAUUUAAAAGGAUCAGCUCUCAAGGAGCCCAGAACCUGUAGCACUUGUAGGGGGAAGUGAAAAGAAAAGCUCUUUAACUCACUCAAAGGUAGCAGAUGAAAAACAAAAAGUGGGAAGUUUGGUUGGUUGAUUGUUCUUCCUACUCCAAGAAAACCAAAAUGAUAUCACUGAUGAUGUCUUUUGACUCCCACAUAAAGUGGAUUCAAGUGAGACAGAGUUGUACAAAAUUAAUGGCCUCAAUCUUCCAGAGUCAUUGAUGCUCAGUGGCAAAACAAAAGUCCAGACAACUGGUGAUGGUCUGGUAUUGAGUGGGUGACCUUGGCUUCUUCCAUGUGUAAUCAAGUUCUAAGUAUUCCACAGACCUACUUCAGCUACCUUCAUGACAGUUGGAACUAAUUGUUCUCAUCUACCCCUUCUGCCUGGGGGAUAGUCUUCACUUGCCUGGGACAGACAUCCCCCUAACUCACUGACAGGUUGGAAGCCCUUUGAUUACCCUCAGCCCAGUUUAGCCUGUCUCCUGAAAUGGUUUACUGGGGUAUGGAUGCUGUGGAUGCUUCAGCUUCUUGGAGCCACUGGCCAAAUCAAGACAUAAUAUGGAAGAUGGUGUCAUAUGCAGUGUUUCCUAACAGGCUACUAUUCUACUUCUGUUUUUCAGAUAUUCAUGCUUGAAGUAUUCUCCACUAUUUCCUGGGCACUAUGUUUUCUUUUUUAAUACCCAAAUAAUAAAGGACACGGAAUCAUCCAUUCA